rnacentral:miRNA from 1 species
AAAAGUUUGUUCCAGUUUUUCU